AAGUCGUAACAAGGUAACCGUAGGUGAACCUGCGGUUGGAUCAUUAACAAAAUCCAACAGGUGAGUGUUACUGAUUUCACGAUCAGCUACACGAAACCUAUUAACACCUUUGUGAACAUUUAAAUGUCUUUGGCAGUUGUAUUGGAGUAAUUCAAUCUCUGCCAAUGUAUUAACCACAUUAUAUUUUUUGAACUGAUUUCCUUUAUCUUGAUCUUCUUUUGAAGUGAAAGCCAAAUGAAAAACAACUUUUGACAACGGAUCUCUUGGUUCUC
rnacentral:misc_RNA from 1 species